UCCCUCUUAGCUCAGUUGGUAGAGCGCGUCACUAGUAUCAGCUUUUAAAGUUUCACGAAAUGACGAGGUCAGUCGUUCAAAUCGGCUAGCGGGAA